rnacentral:rRNA from 1 species
UACGGAGGGUGCGAGCGUGUCCGGAUUUAUUGGGUUUAAAGGGUGCGUAGGUGGCUUGUUAAGUCAGUGGUGAAAUACAGCCGCUCAACGGUUGAGGUGCCAUUGAUACUGACAAGCUUGAAACAAGUGGAGGUUGCCGGGAAUGGAUGGUGUAGCGGUGAAAUGCAUAGAUAUCAUCCAGAACACCGAUUGCGAAGGCAGGUGACUACGUUUGAUUGACACUGAGGCACGAAAGCAUGGGGAGCAAACAGG